rnacentral:lncRNA from 1 species
CUCUGCCUGAACCCAGGUGCAGCUGGCCCCCUCUCUAAAGAAAAGAAAAUAGCAAACCUGCUUGCAGACAGAGGCUCAUCCACACCAGAGGGGCAGUGACCUCCCUUCAUUGCUUAAGUAUAAGGGUGGCAGCAGGACUUAACCUGGUAUGAGGGGAGCAACGCGGUGCCAGGGCCUCAGGGAAGAUGAUCAGGGCCUGCGUAGCUGCAGGGUAAGUGAUGAGAGGGAAGCCAGGCUGCCAGCUCCAGAAACUAAAAAGAAGAGGAGGUGAUGAAGAUGUACACGACUUGAACACUGAAGGCUACAAAACAUGUCUCAAGAGGAAAUGAAGCAAGAGCCAAGUAAAUGGAGACACACACCAUGUUCAGGUGAGGAAAGAAGUGAUUCAAUGGCCAAAGGAUUGCCCUGUCACAUCUAGG